CCACCUCACCACCUACCACUACUAAUGGACAGUCCACCACCUCACUACCUACCACUACUAAUGGACAGUCCACCUCCACACCACCAACCUCAACUUCCUGUGGACAACUGACUUCAUCAGGUUCCUCCUCCCCAGACAGGGAUCCCACAUCCUCCCCCAGUAGUACAACUUCUCCACUCCAUCCUGGUGAGUGUCAGACAUGGAGCUCCAUUCUGUACCAAUCUGUACAAAGGUGUACAAGUGGCAGUUGCUGGGCUUUUCAUGGCAGAUAAGACUAUGAUCUGCACUAAAUCAACGAGUCCAAGAGCUGGAUCAAUGCCCUGGAGUUCUGCAGAAGUCGUGGCUCCAAGUCCAACCUGGUGCACAUCACCAACCAGACCGUGCAGGCUGACGUGACCCAGCUCCUGGCCAAUGUGGAGCUGGCAUGUGGGGGGGUGUGGAUUGGUCUGGAGCGGUCCAUCUUUGAGUGGAACGCCCCCUGGCUGUGGACCAGUGGUGAUGUUGAUGAGGUGGUGAAGUUCAGUGAGUGGCACAGCUGCUUCCCCCUCAACCCCAUCAAUUACCACUGUGGUAAGAUGGUCCGGGUUGGUAACGGAGAACUGAAGUGGCUGGAUGCUUCCUGUCAUCAGGAAUUACCCUUCAUAUGUCAAGAUCUCCACUAGAGGGCUCUACAUGGCAGCCUGGACAGUCUGCAGACAGACACCACACUGAUCUACCAGAGAGACUACCACACUCAUGGUCUGGAAGGAACCUGCAUUUCAAUUCAUAAUAUUUUACACCAAUAUAACUAUUACUAUUAUUAGGACUUUUUACUGUCAUAUUUUACAUUAUAUUACUUAAUGAUACUGUACUUAAAUAGACUGACUCAUAAGCAUUGUUAUUUGACCUAUAAUUUACUGUAAUACUUUUAUUGUUUUAAAAUAGAGUAAAGAAAGGUAAAGUAAAGGGUAUUAACUGAAAAUGUAGCAUUUAACUCCUGUGUGAUAUGUACUGUUUCAGAACGCUAUUUAGUUAGAAUGUAAUUAUUGUUAUUUUGUAUUUCCUUUCAUCUCUGUUCUGAUUAAACAUCCAUUUAGAGUUUGAACAUUGUGGGAUUUCAUUCUUCAUAGAAAGUGCAUUGAGUUAUGAAUCAAAAGCAAUUUAAAUG
rnacentral:lncRNA from 1 species